CGUGGGCGGCGAAUCACGACAAAAUGUGACAGUUUUUGAGUGUUAUUUUGUCCGGCAGCUCACAAUUCUGAGUGAAUUUUGUCUGGUGGUAGCUUUCAUGAUCGUUGAGGUUGUUGGGCAUCGAAUGACACCAUUUUCGAGUCGUGGGGUCAUCACGUCAAAAAGUGACCUUGUUGGACUUUUCUUUUUGUCUGGCAGCUCAAAAUUAUGCGUGAAUUUUUUCUGGCGAUGGAUCAAUCGUUUUCUGG